CAUGCAUGUCUAAGUAUAAAUUCUUGUACGAUGAAACUGCAGACGGCUCAUUACAACAGUGAUAAACUGCUAGACUUUCGGGUUUUUAACCUUUUGGAUAACCGCAGUAAAUCGGGGCUAAUACAUAGAAGCGAUGGGUGACUGGCAACGGAAGCUCAGCGAUUAUUAGCAUUACUACCAAUACCUUCGGGUCUUGUGGUGAAACCGAAUAAUAUUGCAGAUCGAGGAUUUAUCUUCGACAAGUCUACUGUGUCACUGCCCUAUCAACUUUCGAUGGUACGGUAUUGGCCUACCAUGGUUGUAACGGGUAACGGGGAAUUAGGGUUCGAUUCCGGAGAGGGAGCCUGAGAAAUGGCUACCACUUCUACGGAAGGCAGCAGGCGCGCAAAUUACUCAAUCCCAAUACGGGGAAGUAGUGACAAUAAAUAUCAAUACCUAUCCUUUUUGGAGGGCAAUUGAAAUGAACACAAAUUAAAACUCUUAAUUAACACAAUUGGAGGGCAAGUCUGGUGCCAGCAGCCGCGGUAAUUCCAGCUCCAAUAGCAUAUACUAAAGUUGUUGCAGUUAAAAAGCUCGUAGUUGAAGUUAAAGUUAUAUUGGGCUAAAGUUUUUUACCACUAUGUGGCUAAAAUAACUCCAAUAUUUCUUUUUUUAAUAGCUCAGUUUCUAGGUCUUUGACUCUAGUUAUUUGGGCAUUUCACUGUGAGAAAAUUGUGGUGUUUAAAGCAGGCGUCUCGUCUGAUCUUUUGCAGCAUGGUAUGAUGGAACAUGACAUUUUACG
rnacentral:rRNA from 1 species